UUUCGGACUGGCCUAGGGAGAGCGGCAACGUUCACCCAGGGCCGGAAAGUUGUCCAAACUUGGUCAUUUAGAGGAAGUAAAAGUCGUAACAAGGUCUCCGUAGGUGAACCUGCGGAGGGAUC
rnacentral:rRNA from 1 species